GCAGAAUUAUAUUCAAGAAAUACCUUUUCCACAUAUCGGAGGUGGAAAAAUAUGCUCUAGAUUUUUUUUCCUACUUUCUUUUGUGAAUAAAACUUUUUUUUUUUGCAUUGAUUGACUUUAGCUAGAAUUUCAGAUUGAUAUUAUAAGAAGUAAUUUCAAAGUAGCGAAAAUUCAAAAAAGGUUAACUAUACAAAUAUUUUUUAGAACAAAAGAAUAUCGCCAAUAGUAUUAGAAUAUGUAUUCUUUUAUAUUUUGCUUUAAAAAAAAAUAUUCUCACAUUUAUAGUUAAAAAGAAAAUUUUUUUUUUUUUUUGUUCUAUACAUGUAGACGUUUUUUGUAAACUAGUAUCCCGCUACCCUCUCUACGCAGGGGCCAAUUAAUUGUAAAAUAAUUGGUUGAUUAAUUUUUUAAUAGUUUACAUUGAAUAAGGGAAAUAGUAAUUAUUUUGAAUCAUGCUGAGUCCUUCAAGAGCAAAUAGUUCACAUAAUCGUAUCGAAUAUAAAAAUUUGAAAAGGAUAAGAAUAACUUCCUUUAAUAUUUAUUUUUUAGCAUUAAAACAUAUAUAGAUCAGUCUACUUCUUUAAGAAAGUCCAUAAGCAUGAAAAUAAAAAAUUUCUUUCAUUCAUGUUUAAAUAAAAUAUUCGUAAAAAAUUUAGAUCAAGAACCGGCGACGUUUCAAGGAAAGAAGGCAGUGGUAGGCCAAAAAUAUCGGAUAGUGCAGAAGACAUCUGUAUUUUAACUUAUGCAGAAGCUAACCCAAAAGUUACAGCUAAGAUAAUUCUGGACGAUAUGUGAUUACUAAUGUCAUCUCAGACAGUGAGAAAUGGACUUCAUGACUCUGGCCUAUCAUGUAGAAUAGCUAAGAAGAAGUGCAUGACACGCUUUGAUAAACGCUAUUAUUUUUACAAUCACAUUAUAAGUGAAGUUAGAAAAUGAUAGAAAUACGAGAUAGAAAAUUUCUAGUUCAUUGGGUACCUAAGUCGAUCUCUGAAGAAAAAAAAUUAAAUGUGAAAAUUUCUUUUUUAUUAAAUCUUAUAAAAAGUGUUGAAUUUCGUAAUCUUUGGGUGGGGGUUAAGACAAGUCUUUGUGAGACUCUGCAGAUGAAGUAGAAUCCACCGUAGAGUGGAUUCUUUAUGAUGACACUUCUAGCUUAAUUGAAUUCGACACAGAUGAUGUUCUGGAAUCUUUUAAUUUGUAAAUGAAUGGUAUGUUUUAAAAAGCCUUCAUUGAGUGAUAUUUUUGAAAUACUCUUGAAUAAAUAAAUUACUUAACUUU